rnacentral:rRNA from 1 species
AGUGAACGCUGGCGGCAGGCCUAACACAUGCAAGUCGAACGGCAGAAGAGUGCUUGCUCGUGGUUACGGCGGCGGAGUGGCGGAUGAGGGAGGGGAAUAUGGGAAUCUACUGGUUCGAGGGGGCGAACGUAGGGGAUAAUACGCCAUUACCGCAUACGACGUACGGGGGAGAGCCGUGGAACUUCGGGCCUUGCGCGAAUCAAUGAGCUGAUGUCGGAUUAGCUAGUUGGCGGGGUAAAGGCCCACCAAGGCGACGAUCCGUAGCUGGUCUGAGAGGAUGAUCAGCCACACUGGAACUGAGACACGGUCCAGACUCCUACGGGAGGCAGCAGUGGGGAAUAUUGGACAAUGGGCGCAAGCCUGAUCCAGCCAUACCGCGUGGGUGAAGAAGGCCUUCGGGUUGUAAAGCCCUUUUGGUGGGAAAGAAGAGCAGCAAGUUAAUACCCCGCUGUUCUGACGUUACCCAAAGAAUAAGCACCGGCUAACUUCGUG